AUGUUGCAAUUUUCAAGAAUGAUUUCUUUGUUAGGUUUUUGUUUCGAUUUGAGUUGUCCUUUGUAGCCAUAGCUCUAGCAUGUUCUGUUCUCCAAAAACAGAUGCAAUAGUGACGCGGGCAGUAUCUAUACCCUUAACACGAAAAUUCAAUAGACAAGAAUAUUUCGACGGACUUGUCUUUGGGUCCUAAACGUCAUGCUUUCCAUAUAGGAUUCUUCUUUUAAUUUUUCUAUCAGUCUAUCUGCUUUCUCUUUUCCCAAAAAUGCUAAAUUACUGCCUACUACAUUUUCUUGCAGCCAUGGGUGAUGACUAGGCCUUUCUGCUAACAUCUGUGCGGUGGUAUUGUAUUGUUAAACACCGACAAACUGUUGCAGUGUUGCUUUUGAAGUACAACCCCCUCCCCCC